AACGGCCGUACCAUGCUGAAUAUGCCGGUUCUCGUUAGAUCACCGAAGUCAAGCAUCAUUGGGCGCGGUCAGUACUUGGGUGGGUGACCACCUGGGGAUAC
rnacentral:rRNA from 1 species